GUUUUAAUAGUUUAAGAAAAAAUUUAGAUCUUGUAAAUCUAAGAUAAAUUAAUAAUUUUAAAACU
rnacentral:tRNA from 2 species